AUACGGAGGGGACAAGCGUUAUUCGGAAUCACUGGGCGUAAAGGACGCGUAGGCGGGUUAUUAAGUCGGGUGUGAAGUCCAAUGGCUUAACCAUUGAACUGCAUUCGAAACUGAUAACCUAGAGUAUGGAAGGGGCAGAUGGAAUUAGUGGUGUAGGGGUAAAAUCCGUAGAUAUCACUAGGAAUACCGAAAGCGAAGGCGAUCUGCUGGGACAUUACUGACGCUGAGGCGUGAAAGCGUGGGGAGCAAACAGGAUUAGAAACCCCGGUAGUCC
rnacentral:rRNA from 1 species